CCUACGGGUGGCAGCAGUGAGGAAUAUUGGUCAAUGGGCGCGAGCCUGAACCAGCCAAGUCGCGUGAGGGAAGACGGUCCUAUGGAUUGUAAACCUCUUUUGUCGGGGAGAAAAAGACGCCACGCGUGGCGUUCCGAGAGUACCCGAAGAAAAAGCAUCGGCUAACUCCGUGCCAGCAGCCGCGGUAAUACGGAGGAUGCGAGCGUUAUCCGGAUUUAUUGGGUUUAAAGGGUGCGCAGGCGGAAGAUCAAGUCUGCGGUAAAAUUGAGAGGCUCAACCUCUUCGAGCCGUUGAAACUGGUUUGCUUGAGUGAGUGAGAAGUAGGUGGAAUGCGUGGUGUAGCGGUGAAAUGCAUAGAUAUCACGCAGAACUCCGAUUGCGAAGGCAGCAUACCGGCGCUCAACUGACGCUCAUGCACGAAAGUGUGGGUAUCGAACAGGAUUAGAUACCCGAGUAGUC
rnacentral:rRNA from 1 species